rnacentral:tRNA from 1 species
UCCCUGGUGGAUGAGGUUAAAGCGUCUGCCUCCAAGGCAGGAGACCCGGGUUCGAUCCCUGGGUUGGGAA